rnacentral:rRNA from 1 species
UACGAAGGGGGCGAGCGUUGUUCGGAGUUACUGGGCGUAAAGGGCGCGUAGGCGGCGCUCUAAGUUAGGCGUGAAAGCCCCGGGCUUAACCUGGGAAUUGCGCUUAAGACUGGACUGCUUGAGUGCGGGAGAGGUGAGUGGAAUUCCCAGUGUAGAGGUGAAAUUCGUAGAUAUUGGGAAGAACACCAGUGGCGAAGGCGGCUCGCUGGCCCGCAACUGACGCUGAGGCGCGAAAGCGUGGGGAGCGAACAGG